rnacentral:rRNA from 1 species
GGCUCAGGACGAACGCUGGCGGCGUGCUUAACACAUGCAAGUCGAGCGGAAAGGCCCUUCGGGGUACUCGAGCGGCGAACGGGUGAGUAACACGUGAGUAAUCUGCCCCGCGCUUUGGGAUAGCCACCCGAAAGGGUGAUUAAUACCGGAUACGACCACUCCUGGCAUCGGGUAGUGGUGGAAAGUUUUUUCGGCGUGGGAUGUGCUCGCGGCCUAUCAGCUUGUUGGUGGGGUAAUGGCCUACCAAGGCUUCGACGGGUAGCCGGCCUGAGAGGGUGACCGGCCACACUGGGACUGAGACACGGCCCAGACUCCUACGGGAGGCAGCAGUGGGGAAUAUUGGACAAUGGGCGGAAGCCUGAUCCAGCAACGCCGCGUGAGGGAUGACGGCCUUCGGGUUGUAAACCUCUUUCAGCACAGACGAAGCGCAAGUGACGGUAUGUGCAGAAGAAGGACCGGCCAACUACGUGCCAGCAGCCGCGGUAAUACGUAGGGUCCGAGCGUUGUCCGGAAUUAUUGGGCGUAAAGGGCUCGUAGGCGGUUUGUCGCGUCGGGAGUGAAAACCUACAGCUUAACUGUGGGCUUGCUUUCGAUACGGGCAGACUUGAGGCAUGCAGGGGAGAACGGAAUUCCUGGUGUAGCGGUGAAAUGCGCAGAUAUCAGGAGGAACACCGGUGGCGAAGGCGGUUCUCUGGGCAUGUUCUGACGCUGAGGAGCGAAA